UUCUAUAAUUAACUACCAUUGCAUGCAUCAAUAAUAAAUAUUUAACUUAGACAUACAGAUGACCUAGUCGCUUCGGUAAACACAACCCACUUUAACUCGCGUUCCGAUUGCUUGUCGACACUUGCAAUCGGCCUCCCGCGGCACCCGUAUCCGGCACGGCCUGAUAUUGCAACUGCGCCACAACCGUGCUGCGCUUUGCAGCCCCGAAAAUUAUU
rnacentral:lncRNA from 1 species